rnacentral:lncRNA from 1 species
UUUGUGCAUCUUCACGUUGUGGUUUUGAUCUAAGUCCGAAGGUACCUGUUUACACAUUAUACUCUAGAGACAUUGUUAAAUCAUGUUUUUGAGGACCUUCGGAAGCCGAAGGCCCCCAACACAUACUACGAGCAAAUUUAAAAUUUUCAUUCUCUAAUUCAUGCUCGGCAAUUUUAGCAUCUAAUUUUGCUAUAUGAUCAUUUUGUUGUUUAAUCAUAGCAAUAUGAUCAUGAAUAGCAUCAAUAUUAACAUCUCUACAUCUAGUGCAAAUAGUAACAUGCUCAACGGUAGAUGUAGAGGGUUUGCAAGUAUUUAAUUCAACAAUCUUAGCAUGUAAAAUAGCAUUCUCAUUUCUAAGAUUGGAAAUAGAAACAUUGCAAACAUUUAAAUCUUUAGCCUUAGCAAUUAAUUUUUCAUUCUCAAUUUUAAGGCUAGAGAGAGAUGCAUUCAAUUUGUCAAUCUUAGCAAUUAAAUUAGCAUUAUCAUUUCUAAGGUUGACAAUUAAAUCGUCACAACUAUCUAACUUCUCAAUCUUAGCAAUUAAUUUAGCAUUUUCAUUUCUAAGGUUUGAGAUAGCAUCAUGGCAAGAACUUAGCUCACUAGUUAAUUUUUCACAAUUGUCUAUCUCCUGAGCAUAAGCAUUUUUAACUUUAGCAUGCUUCUUAUUUUCUUUAAUAAGGAAGUCCUCUUGGCUAUCCAAGAGUUCAUCCUUCUCAUGAAUGGCACUAAUCAAUUCAUUUAAUUUUUCCUUUUGUUGCAUGUUUAAGUUGGCAAAAAGGGUGAGCAAGUUAUCCUCAUCAUCACUAGAAUUUUACUCAUCACUAGAAGUUGCAUACUUAGUGGAGGAUCUAGAUUUUACCUUCUUCUUCUUGCCGUCCUUUGCCAUGAGGCACUUGUGGCCAACGUUGGGGAAGAGGAGUCCUUUGUUGAUGGCGAUGUUUGCGGCGUCCUCGUCGGAGAAGGAGUCGGUGGAGCUCUCGUUGGAGUCCCACUCCCGGCAAACAUGGGCAUCGCCGCCCUUCUUCUUGUAAUACUUCUUCUUUUCCUUUCUUCUUCCCUUCUUGUCGUUAUCCCUGUCACUAUCACUAGACAAAGGACAUUUAGCGAUAAAAUGACCGGACUUACCACAUUUGUAGCAAACUUUCUUGGAGCGGGGUUUGUAAUCCUUCCCCCUCCUUUGCUUGAGGAUUUGGCGGAAGCUCUUGAUGAUGAGCGCCAUCUCCUCGUUGUCCAGCUUGGAGGCGUCGAUGGGAAUCCUACUUGAUGUAGACUCUUCCUUCUUCUCCUCCGAUGCUUUGAAGGCGACGGGUUGCACCUCGGAUGAUUUUCUUGGAGGUGGUGCCUUGCUCGAUGAUUUUCUUGGAGCCUUUGAUCAUCAAUUCAAAGCUCACAAAUUUUCCUAUUACUUCCUCAGGAGACAUUAGUUUAUAUCUUGGAUCACCAUGAAUUAAUUGAACUUGAGUGGGGUAAAGAAAAACGAGUGAUUUAAGAAUAACCUUGACCAUUUCAUGGUCAUCCCAUUUGGUGCUCCCGAGGUUGCGCACUUGGUUCACCAAGGUCUUGAGCCGGUUGUACAUCGCUUGUGGCUCCUCCCCUUGAUGAAGCAUGAAGCGACCGAGCUCCCCCUCGAUCGUUUCCCGCUUGGUGAUCUUGGUCACCUCAUCUCCUUCGUGCGCGGUCUUGAGCACGUCCCAAAUCUCUUUGGCACUCUUCAACCCUUGCACCUUAUUAUACUCCUCUCGACAUAGAGAGGCGAGGAGUAUAGUAGUGGCUUGGGAGUUGAAGUGCCGGAUUUGGGCUACCUUGUCCGAGUCAUAGCCUUCAUCCCCCACUGAUGGUUCCUAUGCACCAAACUCAAUAAUGUCCCAAAUGCUAGCGUGGAGUGAGGUUAGAUGGUGCCUCAUUUUAUCACUCCACAUACAAUAAUCUUCACAGUAAAAAACCAGUGGUUUGCCUAGUCGGACGGAAAGUAAAGGAGUGCGUUUGUAAAUACGAGGAUAGCGUAAGGGGAUCUUACUAAACUUCUUGUGCUCAUGACGCUUAGAAGUGACGGACGGCGCGUCGGAGCCGGAGGUGGAGGGCGACGAAGAAUCGGUCUCGUAGUAGACCACUUUCUUCAUUUUCUUCUUCUUGUCGCCACUCCGGUGCGACUUGACGCGGGGAGGUGAUUCCUCCCUCUUCUUGUUGCCGGAGUCUCCCGAUGGAGCCUUCCCGUGGCUUAUGGCGGGCUUGUCGCUGGUCACCAUCUCCUUCUUGGCGUGAGCUCCCAACAUCACUUCGAGCGGUUAGGCUCUUAAUGAAGUACCGGGCUCUGAUACCAAUUGAAAGUCGCAUAGAGGGGGGGUGAAUAGGCGGAAUCUGAAAUUUACAAACUUAAGCACACACUACAAGCUGGGGUUAGCGUUAGAGUUAAAUUCGAGUCCGAAAGAGAGGGAAAACAAAUCAACAAAGAAAUAAAGCGGAUGAACAUAGUGAUUUGUUUUACCGAGGUUCGGUUCUGGCAAAUCUACUCCCCGUUGAGGUGGUCACAAAGACCGGGUCUCUUUCAACCCUUUCCCUCUCUCAAACGGUCACUUAGACCGAGUGAGCCUUUCUCUUCAAUCAAAUGGGACACUUAGUCCACUACAGGGACCACCACAACUUGGUGUCUCUUGUUUUGAUUACAAGUGAGUUGGAAACAAGAAUAGAGGAAGAAGAAAAGCGAUCCAAGCGCAAGAGCUCAAAAGAACACAAAAGUCUCUCUCUCUAGUCACUAAUUUGUUUAGAGUGAUUCCGGACUUGGGAGAGGAUUUGAUCUCUUUAUUUGUGUCUUGGAAUGAAGUCUAGAGCUCUUGUAUGAGGUUUGAUGGCUGAAAACUUGGAUGCAUUGAAGUGUGGUGGUUGGGGGGUAUUUAUAGCCCCAACCACCAAAAUGGUCGUUGGGGAAGGCUGCUGUCGUAUGGCGCACCGGACAGUCCGGUGCACCACCGGACACUGUCCGAUGCGCCAGCCACGUCACCCAACCGUUAGGGUUCGACCAUUGGAGCUUCUGACAUGUGGGCCACCGGACAGUCCGGUGGUGCACCAGACAGGUCCUGUUCACUGUCCGGUGUGCCAUCUGCGCCUGCUCUGACUUCUGCGCGCGCAGUCCACGCACUGUUCACUGUUCCUGUAGCGUUGCAGGCGACCGUUGGCGCAGGUAGACGUUGCUCCACUUGGCACACCGGACAGUCCGAUGGUACACCGGACAGUCCGGUGAAUUAUAGCGGAGUGGCUCCCAGAAUUCCCGAAGCUAGCAAGUUGGAGUUGAUCCACCCUGGUGCACCGGACACUGUCCGGUGGCACAUCUGACAGUCCGGUGCGCCAGACCAGGGCAGCCUUCGGUAGCUUUGCUCCUUUCAAUUUGAACCCUUUCUUUUAACUUUGUAUUGGUUUAUUGUGAACCUUUGACAACUGUAAAACUUAUAAUCUAGAGCAAACUAAUUAGUCCAAAUAUUUGUGUUGGGCAAUUCAACCACCAAAAUCAUUUAGGAAAAGGUGUGAGCCUAUUUCCCUUUCAAUAUGUAGCACUUAACCCUUGCAUAUGUCUACCAUUCCCACGGGUCCUCCACUACGUGAACCGGUCUGCGCCACCCGAGAUUACGGUACUCCACCAUCCAGCCACGUGCCAGGUGGGUACACGCCACUCCCGCCAUCUCUCCACUCCCAGUGCACGAUUGUCUUUUCACAUAUGGAGUAGCCCAGUUCAGGCUUACCCAUGACGAGGUAUGUGGGCAGCUAAAAGGUCCUAUAUCAACAUGCCUACAAUUGGUACGGUCCUUAAUCGACACAGAUGGGCGACCUCUCCAGCUCAACGUCUGGUCUCAUUUUAAGCAAUUCUCAAAAUUUGGUACCUGGCAGAGGUACCCUGCUUGAAUGAUUAAGUCAUCCCCGUGGAGGAUGCCUCCAUCAUCCCAAGCCCUUUUUCUUUUUAAAAAUCAUGAGUCAUAGAUCAAAAACAUUUUUCUUAAUCUAUAAGCAUGACUAAACAUCACUAGCUUUUAUAAAACAGGUAACAAGGUAUGAUAAUCAAUCUUUCAAGAAUGGUAAUGCAUCAAGUAUUUAAUCAAUCAACUUCUAUCACCUAAUGUAGCAUAUAAGUGAUAAAAUUUUGUAAUACAAGGAAGGUGGCAAAUGCACCGAGGCUUGCCUUAUUGGAGGAGAAGAUCUAAAACCCUUCUACUCUGGUAAGCAGUUAGAUGAAACUCCACCACUAGAUCAGCAGGCACUGAAGUGAAAUCCUUCUUCAGACACCACUUCUUCUAGGUGUUCUACAAGUCAAUUACAUAUAGAUGAAUAUUUGGUAUGGUACGGAAAUGCAUUUCAUAAGGAAGGUAACAAACAACCCAUCCCAAGUACACUUUUCUACAAGGUGCAUAAAACUAGCCAAAACACUAGAGGAUUACCAAGGGAACUAGAAGACAUCAUCAACUAAUAAUUCAUCAGGGGACUAACCCAUCUUAAACUUCAUCCAAAAGCUCAAACUUUCUUAAGCAACUUCAUUUCCUAAUUACCCGAGGGUAAAAUCCUUUUUCUUUUCGGGCAACAAUUUGUUUGCUGAGCAAAUUUCUUCCAAACAAUUUCAAACUUGUACCAAGUUCUCAGCUUGUCAAGACAAGGUUCCCCAAAAAUUUUCAUAAUUUUUGGAACAAAAGUUUUAUUUCUAAAAAUCAAAUAUACCUUCUAUGAGCAUAUUUUAAUCCCCUGAAAUUUGGUAUCUACUAUAAAAUCCUAAAUCUAUUUUUUACUAAAAGGUACAUGAUUUUACACACUUCGUAAAAUUGGUCUCACUAUUUUAGCAUUUUUGUACAAUUUUCGGCCUAAUUUACAAGCUCUCGGCUAAAUAAAUAAAAGAAAAGCAUUAACUAGCGGGCUGAAUCCGGCCCAAGUGGCCCAUUAUCGAGCAGGGCUGGCCUGCGGCCGGGAGCCCGCGCUUGCCCUUUUGCGCAAAGACCCCUGCUGCCGGGCAAAACAAAACCAAGCCCAAUCCACUGUUCCGUUGUCUGUGUCACUAACAAGAGCGCAUAAGCUCCUCUACUUCGGCUCAUUUGCAAGUUCACAGCUACGAUUCCACCACGCGGACGCCGGCGAGCUGGCGCUUGAUCGGCCACAUUGGGGCAACACAGGCAACAGUGAACGCAUCAACAAGGUCCUACGACUACGAUGACCACGAGCACGUGCUGAAUGGACCCGCAGAAUCCCAGCAACCAGGCUACCGACGAUAGCGACGGCAAACUCAGUCCCGCGAGCCCGAUCCCACGACCACCUCGCGGUAGAGCUCUGACUAAGGACCCGAGGAGCUUCAGCGGUCUAACAAACCUAUGGUGCGCACGUGAAUCCAACCGGAGAUGGCGCAGGUGAACGGGUCGACGCGGAAGCUGUCCUCGGCGUCGAUCCACGACGGUGCAACCCCGUUCUAGUCAGCGAACAACAGUAGCACUAAAAAGGAAAACCUAGUGAACUUCACUGACCUCAAGGGAUUAUGGAACGAGCACAACAUAGUUGAGACUUUCUCCGAGGGACCUU